AGAGUUUGAUCAUGGCUCAGAACGUACGCUGGCGGCACGCCUAACACAUGCAAGUCGAACGAAGUAGCAAUACUUAGUGGCAGACGGGUGAGUAACAUGUAGGAAUCUUCCCUAUGGCCUGGAAUAACACGAGGAAACUUGUGCUAAUACCGGAUAAGUCUUUACAGAGAAAGCUUUAUGCACCAUUGGAUGAGCCUGCACUUGAUUAGUUUGUUGGUGGGGUAAUGGCCUACCAAGACUUUGAUCAAUAGCUGAUUUGAGAGGAUGAUCAGCCACAUUGGGACUGAGACACGGCCCAAACUCCUACGGGAGGCAGCAGUGGGGAAUCUUGCACAAUGGAGGAAACUCUGAUGCAGCGAUGCCGCGUGAGUGAAGAAGGCCUUUGGGUUGUAAAGCUCUUUCGUCGGGGAAGAAAAUGACUGUACCCGAAUAAGAAGGUCCGGCUAACUUCGUGCCAGCAGCCGCGGUAAUACGAAGGGACCUAGCGUAGUUCGGAAUUACUGGGCUUAAAGAGUUCGUAGUGGUUGAAAAAGUUGGUGGUGAAAUCCCAGAGCUUAACUCUGGAACUGCCAUCAAAACUUUUCAGCUAGAGUUUGAUAGAGGAAAGCAGAAUUUCUAGUGUAGAGGUGAAAUUCGUAGAUAUUAGAAAGAAUACCAAUUGCGAAGGCAGCUUUCUGGAUCAUUACUGACACUGAGGAACGAAAGCAUGGGUAGCGAAGAGGAUUAGAUACCCUCGUAGUCCAUGCCGUAAACGAUGUGUGUUAGACGU
rnacentral:rRNA from 1 species